rnacentral:lncRNA from 1 species
CUAAAUUUUAAGGAAACAGCCCGGUCCAAACACUUAGGAUAAAAACCCUUUCUCUCAUUCUUCUUCACAGUCGGCAGAAGAAGAAGCGAAAGCCCUACCCCCGCAGCAGAGAAGCCCGUCUCUUGCAAGUCUCAAUUUCACUCCCAAGAAUCCAAACUUCAAAUUUCAAGCUAUAUUAGAUGGAAGAAGAAGAUGUAAGUUUAAAUUUUUAUAGAAUCUGCAAGCAGAAAAUCUGAUCCGUGUCCGUGUUGCUGGCUAUCUCCUUUCUGUUUGUAUUUCAAUUUUCAGUCCUCAAUGUCUAUCUCCAUUCUGUUUGUAUUCCAAUUUCAAGUCUGUGUUGCUGGUAAUGAAAGUUCAGGUUAUUAAAAUUGCCUGUUUUAGUUCAUUUUCAAUUAUGAAUUAUCUUCACUGAAAGUGUCUUAUCCUCGGUCCUGCAUAUCUCCUGCCUCUUUAUAGCAAAAUUGUACUUAAUUCGUCCAGUCGUAGUCAACUUUCAAUCUUAAAUGUGAUUUUAUGGGUGAUUGUGGAUUACAUGUACAAGUUAAAAUUUGCAAUUUUGUACACACAUAUGGAUCAGAAUCAAUGGUUAAAUUGCAAUUUCAUGUGUGAAUAUGUUUGGUUGAAUUUCACAGUUCUAGUUCUUGGUUUAUGGAUUUUCUUUUUGUAGAUUUCUUUAAUUAUAUGUUGAUCAAUUUUUGUAAUUUAGUUAGCUAAUUAGAUGUGUAAG